UUACUACCAAAUGAAUUCUUAUUAACACUUUGGUUGUGUGUUUUGAAAUAAGUAAAGGAUGCUCAACUUUUUAGUACGAGGAUUGGCCUUCGUAAACAGGAACAAAAAACAUCUGAUCACAGGUUUUUACCUUCUACCACCACAACCAUUCUCUCUCUGGCAAUUGAAGUAUAUGGCAGCAACAGGCGGUCCAAGGUUGUAAAGUGCAGAAAAGUCCCUGGUAUUGAAGUUUUGACGCCAUCCAGAUAUCAAGUGCAUCAGAUGGACAAUAAGAUGGGUGGAAUCAGGGUGUUCGUUGAUGCUGAGAUACAAAGAGGUGCUGGAAGUAGACUGAAUUUUUUUCCAAAUUAUCCAUUCUUGGCAUUGCUGCAUGAGGACAAAUGAUAAGAAAGAACAAUUUAGGACUAGCGACCUUGAUCAUACUGAAACAUUCUUUCAUGAGGGUGAUGUUUACCUUUUAGCAAAUGGUGCUGAAAGAUUGAGAAUUUUUAAGUAAAACUUUGCUUUUACUUUGAGCCCUUGACAAUAAUGUGAUCGUGCGGCAAGAAAAUUAAUCAGCACCAACCUGACUUUUUGGUUCGUUUAUCUUUGUUCUAGAAUAAGUCAAGUUGGUUCUGUAUGUAGAUGUUUGAGAACUAAUCAGUUUGAAUCAGUUCCAAGGUUAAAUUCAUUGAUAUAAAUAUGAAAAGGCUUGACGUUCAUGGUAA